CCUGAUUGAUUCUGUCAGCGCGAUAUGCUCAAGUAAAAGAUUAAGCCAUGCAUGCUUUGAUUCAUCAAUGAAAUUGCGUACGGCUCAUUAGAGCAGAUAUCACCUUGUUCGGAAUAUUAUAUGGAUAACUGCGGAAAUACUGGAGCUAAUACAUGUCAUACAUCCCCAACGUAAGGCGGGGUGCAAUUAUUAGAACAGACCAAACGUUUUCGGACGUUGUUUGUUGACUCUGAAUAAAGCAGUUUACUGUCAGUUUCGACUGACUCUAUCCGAAAAGGGUGUCUGCCCUUUCAACUAGAUGGUAGUUUAUUGGACUACCAUGGUUGUUACGGGUAACGGAGAAUAAGGGUUCGACUCCGGAGAGGGAGCCUUAGAAACGGCUACCACGUCCAAGGAAGGCAGCAGGCGCGAAACUUAUCCACUGUUGAGUAUGAGAUAGUGACUAAAAAUAUAAAGACUCAUCCUUUUGGAUGAGUUAUUUCAAUGAGUUGAAUACAAAUGAUUCUUCGAGUAGCAAGGAGAGGGCAAGUCUGGUGCCAGCAGCCGCGGUAAUUCCAGCUCUCCUAGUGUAUCUCGUUAUUGCUGCGGUUAAAAAGCUCGUAGUUGGAUCUAGGUUACGUGCUGCAGUUCGCAAUUUGCGUCAACUGUAGUCGUGACUUCUAAUUUGCUGGUUUGAGGUUGGGUUCGCCCUUCAACUGCCAGCAGGUUUACCUUGAAUAAAUCAGAGUGCUCAAAACAAGUGUUUGCUUGAAUAGCUCAUCAUGGAAUAAUGAAACAGGACUUCGGUUCUUUUUGUUGGUUCUAGAACUGAUUUAAUGGUUAAGAGGGACAAACCGGGGGCAUUCGUAUCAUUACGCGAGAGGUGAAAUUCGUGGACCGUAGUGAGACGCCCAACAGCGAAAGCAUUUGCCAAGAAUGUCUUCAUUAAUCAAGAACGAAAGUCAGAGGUUCGAAGGCGAUUAGAUACCGCCCUAGUUCUGACCGUAAACGAUGCCAUCUCGCGAUUCGGAGGGUUUUUGCCCUGCCGAGGAGCUAUCCGGAAACGAAAGUCUUUCGGUUCCGGGGGUAGUAUGGUUGCAAAGCUGAAACUUAAAGAAAUUGACGGAAGGGCACCACAAGGCGUGGAGCUUGCGGCUUAAUUUGACUCAACACGGGAAAACUCACCCGUUAUUGAAGCAACGAAAACACACGGGAUAUCGGCUC
rnacentral:rRNA from 1 species